AAAAUAAGUAGGAAAUUCUUCGGUUUAAUCUCGAAAUUAGCUUGAAAAAAUUGGGAGAAAGCCAGCUGUGCGAGGGUGCGGCAACGCGGCGCGAAAGCUGGUCCUGCAGCACUGCGAUCGUUCGCCCUAGGCCUAUUCGAGAGAGCUGCCAGACGCCAUAUUUGUUGUCGUCUAUGGGGGAGGUCGCUGCAUCUUAAAAUCCGUUUUUCCCCGAUAUCCUAAGUGAAACAGUCGUGUGUAUGUGCUUUUCUGCCCCCAGGGACACCUCGGUACGGUGAUGUUAGAGUAAGGGGCUCGCCGGAGCCCUAGCAUAACCCCCACGGUACGAAAUUCCGUCUGGGGUACUGUGGUUCUUUGUCCCCACUGCAGGGUUGCAAGAAAAUUAUUCAAAAUGGCUAGACAAGGGGCUCAAGGACCCCCUCAGGGCCCGGUCGACUUGGAGGACGAAAUGAUCGACUGGGAUGACAGAGGCGGAGGUGACAUCGCAGGGGACAGGUUUAGUUUUGAAGACUCAGAUAGGUUUGAGGAAGACUCUAUGUGCAGCUGGAGUACUGAACCUGAGAGUGUAUGUAACAAUUGGAGGGGAUGGAAAAAACCUAGCUCGAAUGCUGGAAUUUUUACCAAUGGUAAAAGAGGCUCAGAAGAAGCUUUUGCGGUGCCUUCAUUGACAGAACUGACAGCUAAAUGUGUCGCUUCUCAUAUACCGUUUGAACUGGUUGAACAUGUAUAUCCCCCUGUUCCCGAACAGUUACAAUUAAGGAUCGCUUUUUGGAGUUUCCCGGACAAUGAAGAAGACAUCCGGCUAUAUUCUUGCUUGGCAAACGGUUCAGCUGAUGAAUUUUCCAGAGGUGAAAACCUUCACAGAAAUCACAUGGUCAAAGAUCCUUUACAAAUUGGUUUUCAUUUGUCGGCAAGCGUGCAACAGGCCAGGUACAAUAACAGCUCGACCCCUACGCACAAUGUAGCUGUCACAUUUGACAGGAGGCGGAUUUCUUCAUGUAAUUGCACGUGCCAGUCGCAGGCUUAUUGGUGCUCGCACGUGGUGGCCGUGUGUCUCACCAGAAUACAUUGGCCACAUUUGGUGACACUGCGAGCCCCAGUUUCCGAAUCCCUAUCGCGACUACACCGGGAGCAGUUACAGAAAUUCGCUCAGUACUUGAUCAGCGAACUGCCUCAGCAAAUUUUGCCAACCGCUCAGAGAUUACUAGACGAAUUAUUGGGAUCUCAGCCUUCGGCUAUUAAUUCUGUAUGUGGGGCUCCCGACCCCACUGCCGGGGCUUCGGCAGCCGAUCAGACAUCUUGGUAUUUGGACGAGAAGACCCUUCAUGACAAUAUCAAGAAAAUUCUGAUCAAGUUCUGCGUGCCGGCGCCUAUGGUGUUCAGCGAUGUGAACUAUUUGAGCACAGUGGCGCCGCCAGCGGCGGCCGAAUGGUCUUCUUUAUUGCGGCCCCUCAGAGGCAGAGAACCCGAAGGCAUGUGGAACCUUUUGAGCAUAGUUAGAGAAAUGUUUAAGCGUAAUGACAGAAAUGCUGUACCCCUUCUAGAAAUCAUCACCGAGGAAUGUAUGGCCUGCGAACAAAUCCUUAUAUGGUGGUUUAAUACAAAAGUAGCUCUACUGAGCGGAAAUUCCGGUCAUGGAGGCUCGGGAGGAGGAAAACACAACAACAUAAAUAGCAAUACUCACGCCUCACAACACGCAGGUUCCUCAUUAUGCGAUGAAGUUGUAAUUCUUUGGAGACUCGCCGCCUUGAAUCCAGGGUUGGCACCAUCGGAACGAGACAUGCUUCACAGCCAGUUCACUACGUGGCACAUGAAAAUCCUGGAGAAAGUUUCAAAGUGCCGGAAUACGAAUUCUUCGUCCACGUCGAAUUAUUACAAGAACGCGAGUUCUUUGAAGGCCGAUCUGGAUAUUUUUACCGGAUUUAAGCCGGCUAUAGAAGCUUGUUAUUUGGAUUGGGACGAUUAUCCCAUGCCUGGGAUUACGUAUACGUCGGAUAUCAAUCCGAUGUAUCAUUGUCCGUUUACUUGUUUCAGGCACGGGCCUGAUAGUGCCAGAGGCGAAAGUCAGGUGACCCAAGUGAACUCAUCCAAAGCGGUACUCAACGGCGACCAAAUCACCCACACGGGCCAUUCCCAUCACCAUUUACACCACCGGCAUCACCACCACCUGUUCCGCAACCACCGCUUCGAGUAUGUCAACGUUAUGUCCCUCAACCCCGUGGAAUACUCCCCCCAUCACCCUCACAUAACUCAACUCAACGAACGCGACGGUAACAGAUCCAGCGUGAGCAGCGAGGGAUUUUGUGAGGUCGAUGACGACAUCAACAUACUCCAAGUCCCCAGUUACAAUGACUCAGACUCGCAGGAAGGUGGUGGGAGUGACUCUUCUUCGUCUAGUAGCAGUAGGGAUACUAAUACUCCACCUACACGUCAGAUUACCAACCCUCAGGCUUCGAACAUCGAUCAGAAACAACCUGGCUCGAAAACGCCAGUUAAUGAACCCAAUUCCGACCCGAAUUGGUCAGGAAAUGAACCUCCACCUUCAACAGAUACCGAGGAAGAGUCGAGAAGACAGUCGAAAGAUGAGUCUUCGAGUUCUCUAGACUCUCCGAACUCCGGGGAUGAAUAUAGUGUGUAUUUCUAUAAUUCCAAGGAGGCGAAUGGUGGGGAGCCAGUAGCGGGGAGUUCUGGACAGUGUCCGGCGAGUGGUGGGAUGCCUGUGGACCAGGUGGAUGGGAAGACUGACGUUUUUUCGGAGAUUCGGAGAUGUAACGACCCGUGGGAUGUGUUGUUUGCUAGGGCGGAAGGACUGCACGCGCAUGGGCACAGUAAAGAAGCUUGUAUUUUGGGAGUAAAACUAGCCGAAGAACUGUUAGCUAACCCGCCAAACCUCAUGAUAGAAGUACCUCAAAUCCCGAAGAAAAAAGGCAAAAAACCUCAGCUCAACCCAGCUACACACCAGCUCAGCGUUCUAGCUUCGGGAACCUUAGCCAAAGGCGCUUUUCUUUGCUCAGUUUUAUCGGAAAACCCCGAGCAUUUCCAUCUGGCUUUCAGAGUGGGAAUGUUCGGUUUGGAGAUGGCCAGACCUCCUGCUAGCACUAAGCCUUUGGAGGUUAAGUUAGCUAACCAGGAAGCUGAUUUAGUCAACUUGUUGAAGAGGCUGCCUCUGGGGCACAAAGAGUUACAGAUUUUGAGGGAAAGAGCUGAACAAAUCAAAGAUGGUACUUUGAAGUCUAGAGGGGAAGCGAUGUUGCCAAUAAUGUUGGCUAGUUUUAUUUUCGACGCUUUGGUUAUUCCUUCGAUUGUAGGUCGCGACAGGUCAAAAAUCAUCAGUCUUCGCCUGCCCACUGAUGAACCUUUAGCCUUUGAAGCGGCUGUGGUGGCCUUAGGUCUAAAAGCCAACGUUUCGGAGGCAGAUCAUCCCUUACUGUGUGAGGGUACAAGAAGACAGAGAGGAGAACUAGCAAUAACUUUACUAACUUUCUACAAAGACUACUGUUACAAGAUUUGCCGGAUUAUGGAGAAACUUUUGGACAGGGAAGUUCACCAGCUUCUAAAAACGCCUCUUCUCAGUUCGUACUACACUAACAAUCCACCUAUCAGAAGCCAGUACAAUCACCUACGCAGAGAAGAGUGCGACAGUACCAUAGCUUCAAUAAAUCCGUUUGUACCACCGUCAGAGAUGAUUCCAACUGAUGCCAAUUGUUGUAGUAGACCUCACAGUUCGACCAGUGCCGAGGUGGAACAGGGUAUGACUAACCUUUCUUUGGCUGGUCCCAGUGGUCAAAUAUCGCAGGGAGCUAUUUCAAGGACCAAAGAGGGCCGGUACAAAAAAAGGGCGUACCCUUCCAUUCCCAAUCAGCCGUCGGAGGCUGGAGCUCAUUUUAUGUUUGAAUUGGCCAAGACAGUACUGACAAAAGCUGGUGGUACAAGCAGUACCUCUCUCUUCACCCAACCCUCGACGAGCCAGAGCCACCACGGUCCCCAUCGAGCCCUGCACAUGUGCGCUUUCCAACUAGGUCUCUACGCCCUAGGCCUACACAAUUGCGUCUCCCCCAACUGGCUGAGCCGCACCUACAGUUCGCACGUCUCCUGGAUCACAGGCCAGGCGAUGGAGAUCGGUGCCGCUGCCAUAUCUUUUCUCAUAGAUACCUGGGAGGGUCACCUAACACCUCCAGAGGCCGCUAGCAUAGCUGACAGGGCGUCAAGAGGGUGUGACAUUAAUAUGGUCAGUGCUGCGGCUAAUCUGGCGUUGUCUGUGCUUCCUCAUUCUCAUGCACUGAAUCCAAAUGAGAUACAGAGGGCGAUAUUGCAGUGUAAGGAGCAGAGCGACGAUAUGCUUGAGCACGCAUGUUUGACGGUGGAGAGCGCUGCUAAAGGGGGUGGAGUAUAUCCGGAGGUGUUGUUCCAGGUUGCGAAGUACUGGUACGAGUUGUAUAUUAGGCAUACGCCGGGUGGGGAACAGUUGAUUGAUAACGAUAUACCGCCGCACGAGGCGCUGAUGGAUCCGCACGCGCAGCUGGUUGCCUUGAUUGAACAACCAGUUACACAGGAAGGAUCUCCUGCGGCUGCGCCUGUGGUUGUUACAACGGCUCCGCCACCAUAUCCACACGCCACACCUCCCGUUGGCAUGUACGUGAGCCACUACAAUUUUGUACCAGCCCAUCCCACAGGCGCCCCUAUAGGCUACGCAGGUCCACUUCAACCAAUCCCUACAGCGACGCAACACGUACACGUGCAGUACCAGUUCCCCUAUCCUCCCCUCCACCUCCCGGCGCUCAAGCCCUGCCCCCUUUUCCCCCUCCAAACGUCGGACAAGCAACCUACGCGGGGUUGCCACCUCCUCCCACGCCGCCUCAGGUAGUGCCGGUGUUGUUUUCCGUGGAUUCUAGGCAGACUCAUGACUUGGAGGACUCUCGAUUCCAGGUACCCUUUUCGACCACGCCCACGACGUCCCAGUACGUCUCUCCCCCCACGUCACAGUAUGCAGCGCCUCCCCCACAAUACGUGGCUCCGACGAUAACCGCAACUCACCAGCAACCACCGCCCGUCGUCUACUC
rnacentral:misc_RNA from 1 species